GCUCGUUUGUUUUCUUGGUUGUAUCAUAUUUCUUUUCCAUCAUUGUGGUGAAGUGAGAUCGGUUUGGUAGGUAGUUAUCGUGGUAUUCUGGGUUGAACUGCUUGAUCAUCUCUUUGAAACCUUAAUCGCCAACCAUGGACAAGGGUUUCACGUCAGUCAACAACAUGUUCAAGAUUGCUUCAGUCAGGAUAUUUGCUUGCCGAGGUUUGCAUGUUGUUGGCUUGGUAACAAAGUCAUCCAUUGAAGAGGAACAUAUUUUU